ACUUAUAUAGUAUAAAAAUUACAUUUAACUUCCAAUUAAAAAAUCUAUAAAUAGUAUAAGCA
rnacentral:tRNA from 1 species